AGCGAACGCUGGCGGCAGGCUUAACACAUGCAAGUCGAACGCCAUCUUCGGAUGGAGUGGCAGACGGGUGAGUAACGCGUGGAAACAUACCUUUUGCUUCGGAAUAUUCCCGGGAAACUGGGAGCAAUACCGAAUACGCCCUGAGGGGGAAAGAUUUAUCGGCAAAAGAUUGGUCCGCGUUAGAUUAGGUAGUUGGUAGGGUAAUGGCCUACCAAGCCUACGAUCUAUAGCUGGUCUGGGAGGAUGAUCAGCCACAUUGGGACUGAGACACGGCCCAAACUCCUACGGGAGGCAGCAGUGGGGAAUAUUGGACAAUGGGUGAAAGCCUGAUCCAGCCAUGCCGCGUGAAUGAUGAAGGCCUUAGGGUUGUAAAAUUCUUUCACCGGGGACGAUAAUGACGGUACCCGGAGAAGUAGCCCCGGCUAACUUCGUGCCAGCAGCCGCGGUAA
rnacentral:rRNA from 1 species